CAGAAUAUAGCUAAAAUAGAAAAGCGCCCCCCUUACACUGAGGAGACACCCGUGCAAAUCGAGUUAUUCUGA
rnacentral:tRNA from 1 species